CAUACAUCAAGCGAGUGAUUGCACACCCGUCCUUCCAUAACAUAAAUUUUAAGCAAGCAGAAAAGAUGAUGGAGACAAUGGACCAAGGGGACGUUAUCAUUCGGCCGAGCAGCAAGGGGGAGAACCACCUGACAGUGACCUGGAAAGUCAGUGACGGCAUCUACCAGCAUGUGGAUGUGCGAGAGGAGGGCAAGGAAAAUGCCUUCAGCCUGGGAGCCACUCUGUGGAUCAACAGUGAGGAAUUCGAAGACUUGGAUGAGAUUGUUGCCCGCUACGUCCAGCCCAUGGCUUCCUUUGCUCGAGACCUUCUGAACCACAAGUAUUACCAGGACUGUAGUGGUGGGGACCGAAAGAAAUUAGAGGAGCUGCUCAUCAAAACUAAGAAGGAGAAGCCCACCUUCAUCCCUUACUUCAUCUGUGCCUGCAAGGAACUGCCCGGCAAGUUCCUCCUGGGAUACCAGCCCCGGGGUAAACCCAGGUGAGCACUGGUGCUGAGAUGCUGCUGCCUCUGAGGUCCACACACAGGCCAGGAAGAAGCCACACCACUCUGCUUCUACCUCCUUUGUCCCCUUACCUGUUCAGAACAGAGGUUGUGGUUGAUUGCACCUGUGUCUAGGCUGUGGCCCAGCACAGGAUCAUAGGCUCCAUGAGAACUGUUUGUGACUUGAUUUUCAGUUUCAUUCUUCUUUUCUUUUUUUCUUUAAUGUA
rnacentral:lncRNA from 1 species